rnacentral:rRNA from 1 species
CCAAAGACCUAGCCUCACCCAACCAAUGACCUGUCUGCACCUCCCCCCCCCACAAAUCAAAAUAUUUAAAAGACCUAGUAAAGAUGAUUAAAAAGUCUCACAGAGCAAUACCUAUGUACCGCAAGGGAAAGUUGAAAUAAUAAUGAAAGAAGUAAGCACAAAACAGUAGAGUCUACACCUCGUACCUUUUGCAUCAUGGUUUAGCAAGUCCACCCAAGCAAAAAGACUUUAAGUUUGGCACCCCGAAACUAAGUGAGCUACUCUGAGGCAGCUUAACAGCUAACCCGUCUCUGUUGCAAAAGAGUGGGGAGACCCCAAAGUAGAGGUGAUAUGCCUAUCGAACCUAGUGAUAGCUGGUUACUCAUGAAAAGAAUCUUAGUUCCUCCUAAAGCCUUGACCCACCCAAUAAUGUAUAACUUUAGAGUAAUUAAAAUAGGGUACAGCCUAUUUUAAACAGGACACAACCUAAACUGGAGGGUAAUUAUACCUACACUCAAACAAGUAGGCCUAAAAGCAGCCAUCUUUCAAAAUGCGUCAAAGCUUAGCUAAAGUAAUAGCCAUCCCACAAACAACACCCAACCCCCUAUCAAUAAUGAGUAAUUCUAUAACCUAUAGAAAAUAUUAUGCUUAAACUAGUAACAAGAAGGAGCAACCCUUCUCUUCUAUGCAAGUAUAAGCCAGCUUUGGAUUACCCACUGACAAUUAACAGCCCUAGACACCAAUGGCAACCCCAUCAAGAAAUACCCAUUAGUUUACGCUGUUAACCUAACACAAGAGCAUAACAAGAAAGAUUAAAAGAAGGGGAAGGAACUUGGCAAACUGAAAUCCCGCCUGUUUACCAAAAACAUCGCCUCUUGUCCACAUAAGAGGUCUAGCCUGCCCAGUGAGUCAUUCAACGGCCGCGGUAUACUAACCGUGCAAAGGUAGCGCAAUCACUUGUUCCUUAAAUAGGGACUAGUAUGAACGGCACCACGAGGAUUUAACUGUCUCCCCCCUCCAAUCUGUGAAACUAAUCCCCCUGUGAAAAAGCAGGGAUAAAAAUAUAAGACGAGAAGACCCCAUGGAACUUUAAACAAAUAAUACAUGCUUCCUUACCAUUAAAUCUCCUGAAAACUAAAAACUUAUAAGCAUGCUAAUUAAGAGUUUUCGGUUGGGGUGACCACGGAGAAAAACUCAUCCUCCGCGAUGAAAAUUCUAAACUUAUAAACUAUAAGCUACAGCUUUAAGAAUCAACAAACUGACAUUAUUGACCCAAACUUUUUGAUCAACGAACCAAGCUACCCUGGGGAUAACAGCGCAAUCUACUUCGAGAGCACAUAUCGACAAGUAGGCUUACGACCUCGAUGUUGGAUCAGGGUCCCUGGUGGUGCAGCCGCUCCCAAAGGUUCGUUUGUUCAACGAUUAAA